UGGGGAAUAUUGCACAAUGGGCGCAAGCCUGAUGCAGCCAUGCCGCGUGUAUGAAGAAGGCCUUCGGGUUGUAAAGUACUUUCAGCGGGGAGGAAGGUGUUGAGGUUAAUAACCUCAGCAAUUGACGUUACCCGCAGAAGAAGCACCGGCUAACUCCGUGCCAGCAGCCGCGGUAAUACGGAGGGUGCAAGCGUUAAUCGGAAUUACUGGGCGUAAAGCGCACGCAGGCGGUCUGUCAAGUCGGAUGUGAAAUCCCCGGGCUCAACGUGGGAACUGCAUUCGAAACUGGCAGGCUAGAGUCUUGUAGAGGGGGGUAGAAUUCCAGGUGUAGCGGUGAAAUGCGUAGAGAUCUGGAGGAAUACCGGUGGCGAAGGCGGCCCCCUGGACAAAGACUGACGCUCAGGUGCGAAAGCGUGGGGAGCAAACA
rnacentral:rRNA from 1 species